UACGAAGGGGGCAAGCGUUGCUCGGAAUGACUGGGCGUAAAGGGCGCGUAGGCGGCUCGAUUUGUCAGGCGUGAAAGUCCUGGGCUCAACCUGGGGACGGCGCUUGGGACGGUUGGGCUUGAGUGGGGGAAGAGGGUCGUGGAAUUCCCAGUGUAGAGGUGAAAUUCGUAGAUAUUGGGAAGAACACCGGUGGCGAAGGCGGCGACCUGGUCCUUGACUGACGCUGAGGCGCGAGAGCGUGGGGGAGCAAACAGG
rnacentral:rRNA from 1 species